rnacentral:rRNA from 1 species
AUUGAACGCUGGCGGCAGGCCUAACACAUGCAAGUCGAACGGUAACAGGAAGAAGCUUGCUUCUUUGCUGACGAGUGGCGGACGGGUGAGUAAUGUCUGGGAAACUGCCUGAUGGAGGGGGAUAACUACUGGAAACGGUAGCUAAUACCGCAUAACGUCGCAAAACCAAAGGGGGGGACCUUCGGGCCUCUUGCCAUCGGAUGUGCCCAGAUGGGAUUAGCUAGUAGGUGGGGUAACGGCUCACCUAGGCGACGAUCCCUAGCUGGUCUGAGAGGAUGACCAGCCACACUGGAACUGAGACACGGUCCAGACUCCUACGGGAGGCAGCAGUGGGGAAUAUUGGACAAUGGGCGCAAGCCUGAUGCAGCCAUGCCGCGUGUAUGAAGAAGGCCUUCGGGUUGUAAAGUACUUUCAGCGGGGAGGAAGGGAGUAAAGUUAAUACCUUUGCUCAUUGACGUUACCCGCAGAAGAAGCACCGGCUAACUCCGUG